CUCAUUUUCUCUUGCUGCUGCCAUGUAAGAAGUGCCUUUUGCCUCCUGCCAUGAUUCUGAGGCCUCCCCAGCCAUGUGGAACUGGCUCAGUGUGGUCAAAAGAAGACUAUAGAAUCAAGGAUGAAGAGAAGGAACACAGAAUAAAAGGACGUCUCAGCAGGAAGCUCUGUGACUACUAUGUCAAAUGAUGCCAUACAGUGAAGCACCUUGAAAGAUUGCUGGGAUAAGCUGACAGCAUGGCAGCCAAAAUAGUGACCCCAGGCUUGCAGGAAUUCUGUGCUUUCUGGAGGAAAUGGUCAUGGGUUUCCCAACCUGCCUUUUAAACUAAGAUCUCACUGAGCCUGGCCCUGUGGAAUUACUGGACCGAGCUGAAGAAGCCCCCGUCUUCCAGCGCAUGUUAUUCCCAUGACAGAUGCUAAAAGUUCAA
ensembl:lncRNA SYT9-AS1 SYT9 antisense RNA 1